GAGAGAAGCUUAAUGGAGGAGCCUUGCCUAGUAUGCAAGGGAACACAAAUUGUCUGCAUCAAGUGGUAAUAAGGAAAUAUUGUUUAUUCUUUGCAGAGAUGAGAAAAUCUUUUCCAGGCAGAGAAACUGAGGAACAGAGAUGUCAGGAUACUUUGAGUGGGAGCCAGAAUGCUUCAUUUAGGUACCAAGAAUAACAACUGCUUUACAUUCGUUGUAGAUCCCCAGCUACAGGGGUUGAGCCAGUUAUCUUAAAGGAAGAGCUGAAGUUUCCCAUGAAGUCUGCCACUAAAUUACUGUGGAAGA
rnacentral:lncRNA from 1 species